ACAUGCAAGUCGAGGGGAACGACAUCGAAAGCUUGCUUUUGAUGGGCGUCGACCGGCGCACGGGUGAGUAACGCGUAUCCAACCUGCCCACCACUUGGGGAUAACCUUGCGAAAGUAAGACUAAUACCCAAUGACGUCUCUAGAAGACAUCUGAAAGAGAUUAAAGAUUUAUCGGUGAUGGAUGGGGAUGCGUCUGAUUAGCUUGUUGGCGGGGUAACGGCCCGCCAAGGCUACGAUCAGUAGGGGUUCUGAGAGGAAGGUCCCCCACAUUGGAACUGAGACACGGUCCAAACUCCUACGGGAGGCAGCAGUGAGGAAUAUUGGUCAAUGGACGAGAGUCUGAACCAGCCAAGUAGCGUGCAGGAUGACGGCCCUAUGGGUUGUAAACUGCUUUUAUAAGGGAAUAAAGUGAGUCUCGUGAGACUUUUUGCAUGUACCUUAUGAAUAAGGACCGGCUAAUUCCGUGCCAGCAGCCGCGGUAAUACGGAAGGUCCGGGCGUUAUCCGGAUUUAUUGGGUUUAAAGGGAGCGUAGGCCGGAGAUUAAGCGUGUUGUGAAAUGUAGAUGCUCAACAUCUGCACUGCAGCGCGAACUGGUUUCCUUGAGUACGCACAAAGUGGGCGGAAUUCGUGGUGUAGCGGUGUAAUGCUUAGAUAUCACGAAGAACUCCGAUUGCGAAGGCAGCUCACUGGAGCGCAACUGACGCUGAAGCUCGAAAGUGCGGGUAUCGAACAGGAUUAGAUACCCUGGUAGUCCGCACGGUAAACGAUGGAUGCCCGCUGUUGGUCUGAAUAGGUCAGCGGCCAAGCGAAAGCAUUAAGCAUCCCACCUGGGGAGUACGCCGGCAACGGUGAAACUCAAAGGAAUUGACGGGGGCCCGCACAAGCGGAGGAACAUGUGGUUUAAUUCGAUGAUACGCGAGGAACCUUACCCGGGCUUGAA
rnacentral:rRNA from 1 species